rnacentral:rRNA from 1 species
CAGUAGCCGCGGUAAUACGUAGGGUGCGAGCGUUAAUCGGAAUUACUGGGCGUAAAGCGUGCGCAGGCGGUUAUAUAAGUCAGAUGUGAAAUCCCCGGGCUCAACCUGGGAACUGCAUUUGAGACUGUAUGGCUAGAGUGUGUCAGAGGGGGGUAGAAUUCCACGUGUAGCAGUGAAAUGCGUAGAUAUGUGGAGGAAUACCGAUGGCGAAGGCAGCCCCCUGGGAUAACACUGACGCUCAUGCACGAAAGCGUGGGGAGCAAACAGGAUUAGAUACCCCCGUAGUCCCUGUCUCUUAUAC